AUGAACGCUGGCGGCGUGCCUAAUACAUGCAAGUCGAGCGAACAGACGAGGAGCUUGCUCCUCUGACGUUAGCGGCGGACGGGUGAGUAACACGUGGAUAACCUACCUAUAAGACUGGGAUAACUUCGGGAAACCGGAGCUAAUACCGGAUAAUAUAUUGAACCGCAAGGUUCAAUAGUGAAAGACGGUUUUGCUGUCACUUAUAGAUGGAUCCGCGCCGCAUUAGCUAGUUGGUAAGGUAACGGCUUACCAAGGCAACGAUGCGUAGCCGACCUGAGAGGGUGAUCGGCCACACUGGAACUGAGACACGGUCCAGACUCCUACGGGAGGCAGCAGUAGGGAAUCUUCCGCAAUGGGCGAAAGCCUGACGGAGCAACGCCGCGUGAGUGAUGAAGGUCUUCGGAUCGUAAAACUCUGUUAUUAGGGAAGAACAAAUGUGUAAGUAACUAUGCACGUCUUGACGGUACCUAAUCAGAAAGCCACGGCUAACUACGUG
rnacentral:rRNA from 1 species